CCCGCUUUUUCCCGUGUUGCCUAUUCAGUCGCUUUGACUAGGUGUGAUGGCUGCUAGCCAUGGGAUUAAUUUGAACGAUGGAUGCAGGGGCACGAGGCACGCCGUGACCCGGCUCUGUCGAGGCAUGGGAUCUCAGUCCGGCGGGCGGUGGCGGAAGCAUCACCAUGAGCCGAGCAAGAUUCUCCAGAUCCGGCUAGUACGUGGUGGCAGCAAUCCUGCGAGUUCCUGUAGCAGAUAUGUCACAGACAAGAAUCUCUAUAAGUAUUUGAAGCAUCUUUCCUAUCAAAUGUUCUAAAUACAUCUUUAUGAUGCCAGGGCUACUGACAACCAGGUAUGAGGAACAUAGUUGUGCUACCCUCCAUUUUCCUGUACAGAAGUUCACCAUUUUCACUUUCAUAUUGUA